rnacentral:rRNA from 1 species
GAUGAACGCUGGCGGCGUGCCUAACACAUGCAAGUCGAACGAAGCCUUCGGGCUUAGUGGCGCACGGGUGCGUAACGCGUGGGAAUCUGCCCUUUGGUUCGGAAUAACAGAUGGAAACGACUGCUAAUACCGGAUGAUGACGAAAGUCCAAAGAUUUAUCGCCAGAAGAUGAGCCCGCGUAGGAUUAGCUAGUUGGAGUGGUAAAAGCGCACCAAGGCGACGAUCCUUAGCUGGUCUGAGAGGAUGAUCAGCCACACUGGGACUGAGACACGGCCCAGACUCCUACGGGAGGCAGCAUUGGGGAAUAUUGGACAAUGGGCGAAAGCCUGAUCCAGCAAUGCGGCGUGAGUGAUGAAGGCCCUAGGGUUGUAAAGCUCUUUUACCCGGGAUGAGAAUGACAGUACCGGGAGAAUAAGCCCCGACUAUCUCCGUGCCAGCAGCCGCCGUAA